GCAAAAAGACAAAAACAAAAACAAAAAGAAAUCCAAUUACCCUGAGACCAUCUCUCUUUGAGGAAUCCCAAGCUAGCUACGAGGAACCCAGGUAACAGCAAGAAGUGAGGCUUUAUACAUAGAAGGCCAGCUCACUGUCAUUACAUCAAUCCCAGUGGAGGCUCCAGAUGGCUGGAUUUCCAACCCACAAAACUCUCUCAGGCUGCUGUAAGGACGCUGUCUCCUUGACGACCAGCAGUUGUCCAUGCUUGUCGUCAACAACAACAAAAAACGAAGGGCCCUGCAGAAGCUUGAAGCGGAAAUGGGGAAGAAGUAAAUGAGAUCCCACCUAUAGCAUCUCCGUUGGAAGAGAACAGUCAAACAAAACCACAAAGAAUCAGGUUCAACACUGUCUUCGAUCCUGUCUGAUCAGGAUCCUGAGAUAUCUUCACCACAUUUCUAUGAUUAGUGGACCUAACAAAUGCCUGAAGUUCUGCUUUUCCUUUUCUUUUUUUCCAGCUUGAUUGAGAUAGAAUUAAUAUAAAAUAUUG